rnacentral:lncRNA from 1 species
UCGACCAAAACGACACAAGUUUAUUUCCAAAUGAACCUUUACAAUCUGAAAAUUAUAAAUUUAAAAGUUUUAGCCAGGAGGGUCGAUUUCCGCUUUUUCAUAGCCGUUGUGCGUUAGCUCUUAGCUCCAUAGCUCUUUGCGUUACAAAAACAUGCUCAUUCGCACCUAACGCUAAGAUUCGCACCGUUACGCGAACUAACGCGAACUAACGCGGACUUAACGCGUUAAUCACCCGUCGUCAUAGUGUGUCGUGGUCAUGGCGAGCAUGACCACAAUGCUGAACGUCAGCGAUUGUACCGACAAUGACAACAUUUACUAGCUUUAUAUUCACUCGCAGUCCAAGGCUUUAAUGAAGGUAUUGACUCAAGGAUCAGUCUAUCACAACGAUAACGGCGAAGGAAAAGAAGCCAAACUAACCUUACAAAUUGUGAAAAGAAGAAGUCAUAUGUAAUACAAAGUAUAUGCUAUUUAUGUACUGGGCUAAAUACUGGCUGAACAGCGACGCAGAUCGGUCGUGCGAUGAUGCCGUGCGAAAUCUUGCCGCCGCCAAAAAGUGCGUAACAGCACUACCUACAUUUUCGUUUUUAUGGCAUUGUAAAUUUGCAUUUGAUUAAGUUGGUUCACCACUUUUGGCAGGCAAAAUGGACGCAGACGCGGAACACAGUGCUUUACCACACAGCAUCAAGCACGCUACAAGGCGAAAGAUCAAUAUGCUUAAACUUGCUGUCAUAUACUUAAAACAAAUUGUUGGCAGAGCCAGCGACGGAUAGAUUUCCCUUUAGGCCGUACGACUUGAGGGCCUUGUUCAUUGGCCUUCUUCCCUAUAGAGACUGUACGGCAGUAUCAUUUUUUACCUAAGAGGUUACCUUUUUAGAGUUAGAAAUAAAGGAAGAAUCAUUUUUUACCUAAGAGUUACAGCUUUUCAGAAAGAACUAACAGCAACUACGACUAUUAUAAAUUUUUGGCCGAUCAUUGGCGAGCGCAAUAAUGAGCGGUAGCAAUGAUACUCAAAAAGGCUGCGGAUAUUCAAUUAUUCUGAAAGAACACGGGUCCCGUGCUGGACCCCGUACACAUAGUGUCGUAAUGUAGUGUCUCACGGGCGGGACCUCCCGUCUCAUUAGCAGCAGCAGGAGGACCCUGCAACGUGCAAGGUAGGGAUUUUUUUUAUCGUCGUUGUCCUCCAGCCUGCCUGCCUGCUGGGUACACGAAGGACACGAGGACUCCUUACAGCAAGAGAGUAACAAUCCCUGGUGGCCAACCACGGACGGAACUCUUCAAACAAGAAGCAAUUCCGUGUGUGUGGUUCAUAUACCCC